GUCUACGGCCAUGCCAUCCUGAACAAGCCCAAUCCCGGCUGAUCUUGGAAGCUAAGCUGGGUUGGGCAUGGUUAGUACUUGGAUGGGAGAUCACCUAGGAAGACCAGGUGCUGUGGACG
rnacentral:rRNA from 1 species